UACGGAGGGUGCGAGCGUUGUCCGGAAUCACUGGGCGUAAAGGGCGCGUAGGCGGCCUGAUAAGUAGGGGGUGAAAUCUUGCGGCUUAACCGCAAGGCUGCCUUCUAAACUGUCAGGCUAGAGCACAGUAGAGGCAGGUGGAAUUCCCGGUGUAGCGGUGGAAUGCGUAGAGAUCGGGAAGAACAUCAGUGGCGAAGGCGGCCUGCUGGGCUGUUGCUGACGCUGAGGCGCGACAGCGUGGGGAGCAAACAGGAUUAGAA
rnacentral:rRNA from 1 species